rnacentral:rRNA from 1 species
GACGAACGCUGGCGGCGUGCUUAACACAUGCAAGUCGAACGGAAAGGCCCUGCUUUUGUGGGGUGCUCGAGUGGCGAACGGGUGAGUAACACGUGAGUAACCUGCCCUUGACUUUGGGAUAACUUCAGGAAACUGGUGCUAAUACCGGAUAGGAGCUCCUGCUGCAUGGUGGGGGUUGGAAAGUUUCGGCGGUUGGGGAUGGACUCGCGGCUUAUCAGCUUGUUGGUGGGGUAGUGGCUUACCAAGGCUUUGACGGGUAGCCGGCCUGAGAGGGUGACCGGCCACAUUGGGACUGAGAUACGGCCCAGACUCCUACGGGAGGCAGAAGUGGGGAAUAUUGCACAAUGGGCGGAAGCCUGAUGCAGCAACGCCGCGUGCGGGAUGACGGCCUUCGGGUUGUAAACCGCUUUCGCCUGUGACGAAGCGUGAGUGACGGUAAUGGGUAAAGAAGCACCGGCUAACUACGUG